rnacentral:lncRNA from 1 species
GCCAUUUCCCUUCCCCUUUUCCCUGAAGAGUCUUUUCUAAGGCACCAACUACUUCCUUCAAGCAGCAGCCAGAGGUCUUUGCUCAAUGGCUGAGAAACACAGAGGAGAGACCCAGAGAGGAGGAGAAGGCCGCAUGAAGAUGGAGCAGAGACUGGAGCUAUUCAGCCAAGUCAAGGAAUGCCUGGAGCCACCAGAAGCCGGAAGAGGCAAGGAAGGAUCCUCCCUUAGAGCAUUUGGAAGAGUGUGGCCCUGCCAACACCUUGAUUUCAAACUUCUGGCCUCCAUAACUAUGAAAUAAAUUCUUGUUGUUUUAAGCC